CAGUCCGAUGCUGCCGUUACGUUUAUCAGUACACGUUUCAUUCUCUUUUGACAGUCUUCGAUUAUCGCGUAUAUUUCUUAUCGUUAAACUGCGAACGCGUUUAUGGCAGAUGGAAAUGUUCGCAACUAUCAUUUCGCGGCGUCGGGUAAGCGUCUAUGAACUUUGACGAGUAGCAAUGUAAAUCCCAUAAAGCAGAUAAAACCGGUGGCAAGAAAAGUGAUUUAAUUCGUCUUCUAUCGUCUUAAAUAAUCGUUACAUUCGUAACGUAAACUGCAAUAAACCACGUGACUCUAGGAAACGCGAGAAGAAAAGACGAAGAGGCUCACGGCAUUGGAUGGAGGAAGUAUUUGCUGGUACGAUGUUAUUAUCUCGUCACGGAGAAGCGUUAAUUAGGUCGAUGGGAUUCGUUCGAUCCAUAAGGUUUAUUGUUGGAUCGAGCGGUGUUAUUAAUUCAACCAGCGUUCCAGAUACGAUUACAAGGGAGGUAAAAAAUCAUUUGUUGGAGAACAAGAGGGCACGGUUUUUCGAUCUUUAGCACGAGGUAAACGAGAUACGCAAUCACCGAGUAGAUAGGCUACCCGGUGUUUACAAUGCUUUUAAGACGCACCUUGUAAGCAAAUAUGCAACGAAGGCCGUGGGUAACAGAGGCGCGAUGUGUCUAUUUUAAUUUUGCAUGUGCAAUGUGCUCGGCCGUGCUGCGAAACUUAAUAAUAAAAUUAAAGAAACACAAUGGAGCCGUGAAACGACGCUGGUAAACAUCGAUAUGCAAUUGAAGAAAAUCGUAUCGCGGAUAUCUCUUCGGAGUUUCGUCGGAUUAAAAUGAUUCAGAUUUAUCUGAAAUAAAUAAAAAAAAAGUAUCGAUUAGAUAUCAAGUUUUUAUAAAAUGAUAAAUUAACUAACUUGGUCCACCUGUUUAAGUUGAUCUUGUGUUAUUUCAUUUCUUUGUAUUUUAAACAACUUUCUUCACCCUCUUAUUUCAGUUCCUUGUUAUGGUUUACCUUUUCUACUUGUUUGUUUUCCAACUCUUCCUCGGUGAUACCUUACCUCUCCAACUUUCGGUAAUCCAUGACCAAAUAUUUUAAAGUUUCCAGUUGCUGUUUACAUAAACGGUGUGUACUUCUUUUGCACCUCUUCCAGUCGAUAUUCUACACUCCUUUCAAUCUUUCUUCAGUUUCUUUAUUCAUCUUUAUGCAUCGUUCAGCUUUCAGCUGACAGCAAAUAGGAAAAUUCCAAAGAGGAAAAAAUCAAAGUUCAUGGACGUUCUAAUUAACAAUUCUGUCCGUUAUCUUUUCUGGUAACUUCUGGUAAAAUUAUUUCAUUUUCAAUGGGCAAGGGUCAUUGUUGUCAUACCGUUUACUUAUUCAACGCAUAUCAUCAGAAGUGCACAGAAGUUAUUGUUAACGAUCAGACGUGUAAAGUGGAAGAGAGGGAUGUUUCGCACGGUGGAUCGCAAACAACUGAUUUAGACGUCGUACGUGAGCAUUGUGCGAGAUGAAAACUAGCUCCCGUUGAAAUUAGCAUGAGAAAACGUUGUGUGAAACGGGAUUGAAAUACAUGCUCCAACAAGCACGAGUCGAUGUGACAAGGAGUACCGUGUCUAUAUACCGGUACAGUAAUAAAGUAUCUUGACGUAACCAAAUAUACCUGAACAGGCAAAGAAAGAAAGAAAAAUAGAAUUUAAUGCAUUAUUCUGCAGUACAUCUGUGACUAGGAUUUACGAUAAACAGGAUAUUUCUGGUAAACUUCAUUAUAUACCUAGGGAUGGAUUGGGACUGAAAUUUGUACCAGAAGAUGAUUAGCCCUCUUGUAAUGAAUAAGUUUAAUUAAGUCCCUAAAUUUCUA